rfam:Hordeum vulgare subsp. vulgare, WGS project CAJW01000000 data, contig: morex_contig_290049
CCCGUUGAUGAAGACGAAGUCGUCUCCCACAUCCUGCACGGUCUUGACUCCGAUUACAACUCGUUUGUAUCGGCAAUCUCGACU